GACUUCUUUAUGCACCUGAAGAGGAUCUCCCAGAAUCUGGUUCCAUCUGCAAGUUCAGGCUGAGCAUCAGUGGCAUAUAUAAUGAGCAGUCUGUUGUCACUCCAGAUUGAAAAGGCAGUGGGCAGUACUGGACCUCCUCUGGUUGAAUGCCAGAUCCAUCCUCUGAUCAGAAGCUGAGCUGCCUUGACUUAUUUAUAAUCAGUCUCCAAGUGCAGUACCAGAUCUAGUCUUCUUACGAAGAAGUAAUUUCUUGCCUUGGGCCUUGUAACUAGAAGGGAAUAAUGCUUAAGCAGAGACACACAUACAGGAAAGAAGACAAUGACUUCUAACACUGUUGAAAUGUCAGACCAUGACCUUUAAAAAGACUGAAAGAAACCAGAGGGCAUAAGCCCUAAGGGAUGUUUCUGCAUGAGCAAGAGUGGGAGUUGACUAUUUUUGUAUCUACAAGGAAAGGUGAUAUAUUGCUACCCUCAUUCAUUUGGUCUAUGGAAUUUGUUACUGAAAACACAUGUUCAUAACCAGGGAUCACAUCGUGCCAGUCGUCUUUUCAAAGAUUAGAUCUGUAUGUAACUACAUAGGAAGACUCACAGUCAUAAUACAUAAGUGUAAUCUGAAACAUUUCAUGCUGAACUGCUGCAGCUACUUUAAAGCCUUGUAGUAAUAGCAAGGCAGGAUUUGAGUUAUUUUUUACUGAGAAAGGGACUGCACUGCACACAUGCAGCAGAGAUGUAACAUCAACCCAAAAGACUGGCUCUGGAACUGUUCAGCACGCUGUCUGCUUGUGCUGCUAAUUCUCAUGGGAUGGGAUGUGAUAAAGUUUUUGUUGGGAACGUUAAUCUUAUUUCUGUACAGCUGAGAUUCUUUUCCACCAACUGUAAAUAUCCUCUCCCAAGAUAUCACCAAUGAACCUUAUCUGCCUUCCUUCUUCAGGCUGUGUUGUAAAAUUAUUUAACAUACGCAAAGAUCUUCAGUUUCAAUGCUUAUAGUCUCAUUAAUGCUACUUGCUACUUAUCCAAUUUGAAACCCUCAAGACUUAAAUUUUGUAUGUGGCAUCUCUGUGAACCAUAUGUAAUUUGGGAGAACACUUUUAAUAUGUCGUUUUAAUAUUUUUGCUUUCCUUCACUUUCAGUGGUUUGUCUUGGUUGAUUUAUUUCUGGAUAUUUCCUAAAGUGCCAGGCAAUAAACGUCUGUACAUUCCUGUGAUUUGUUUGAGCAGUUUGAACCAUUUUUCUGUGACUAGGAAGGGAAUCUUACGUAUCUGUAGGCUUUAGACAUAGACAUGCAAAGCCUAACUUAAUUUUUAAACCAAGUAUGGUACUAUAAAUUAUAAAUAAUUUUGCAUUUUCUAUUCUGUCUUAAUUAUUCUUUUGUUGUCUUCCCAAGACAGAUUUAAUCCUUAUUUUUGUUAUCUAGUCACACAGUAGUUGAAAGUGGCUUGUGGAUCAUGGUAACUAGACAUAGAAAUAUCUGCUCAGCUAUUUAUUCCAUUUAUCCAGUGAUUUGAUUAUUAUCCAAAUAGGUCAAUGAGAGAUAGCUAACGUAUUCAACCAUGCUUUCUGAAGAAUGGCUCCUCUCAAGCUCUAGAAGACUUGCCUUUAUUACAUGCUUAGGAGCUUAAAAAAAAACCUGAUAUCGCUUCUAGAUGUCUGUUUCGUAGGAAGGCUUAAGGAAUAGAUUUCCCAUGAAAGUUAUUAUGAAGAUGGAGUUUAAGAAGAAAA